GACGAACGCUGGCGGCGUGCUUAACACAUGCAAGUCGAACGAUGAAGAAGAGAAACGCGAACUUCGGUUCAAAUUUCACUUCGGAUUAGUGGCAGACGGGUGAGUAACGCGUGAGCAACCUACCUCUUACAAAGGGAUAGCCUCGGGAAACCGUGAUUAAUACCAUAUGACACAUUCAUAAGGCAUCUUAAGAAUGUUAAAGCUACGGCGGUAAGAGAUGGGCUCGCGUCCCAUUAGCUAGUUGGUGAGGUAACGGCCCACCAAGGCGACGAUGGGUAACCGGCCUGAGAGAGUCAACGGUCACAUUGGAACUGAGACACAGUCCGAACUCCUACGGGAGGCAGCAGUGGGGAAUAUUGCACAAUGGAGGGAACUCUGAUGCAGCGACGCCGCUUGAGCGAUGAAGGAAUUCGUUACGUAAAGCUCUGUUCUAUGGGAAGAAAAGGACUGUACCAUAGGAGAAAGCCCCGGCUAAAUACGUG
rnacentral:rRNA from 1 species